GAUUCAUAUUAAUAAAAUUAGGAAUAAUUAAAUUAAAGAUUUAAUUUGAGAUUAAUUGGAAGAAUUAAGUUAAGUAGUAAUUAUUUGGAUUAAGUUGUGAUUAACUAACCUAAUACAUAAUUAGUGAAUAAACCAAUUGUAAAUAAUUAAAUAUAAGAAAUGCAAAGGGUUGGAUGUGUUCUGGAAAGUUUGAGAGGGUGUGUUUGUGUAUAUGUGUGCUGGUGAGCUCAUGAAUAUCCAUUUGGCUCAAAACAUUUUGUAGAGAGAGAGAGAGAGAGAGAGAGAGCUCAUUGUGCUGAAGAACAAAGAUGAGAGAAGAAGAAUUCAAGUUUUGUGCUGGAAAAUUGAAGGACGAACACUAGAAACUCAAUAAAGUUCUAGGCUGCCUGAAAUUCUGAGGAACCAAGUUCAAAGCUCGAGCAGUGAAAGGACCGCUCGAGCGGAGACCCUGUAUCAGCCAAGUUUUGAAAACUAACUUUGAUAAUAUUUUCUUUCUCAUUUGUUUCCAAGUAUCUUUAGGCAUGAAUUAAAUCUAAUUAAGAGUUAAGUAAGUUAGGAAUUAACAUAAAUUACUUGAUUAGAAAACCAAAGGAAGAAUUUAAUUAAAUUAAUUAGAAACGAAAUGUAGGUUCAAUUAAUUGUAAUUUGUUACCGAUGUUUAUGUGUAUAUGCAUCACGUAGGUCAGACCAUAGCAUUAUCGGGACCAAGCCCACUGUGAGUAGUAAUUUAGUAACGCUAUAUUUGACAAAUUAUGUUUUCAAUACCAAACUUGGUUAUGUUUACAAGUUUAUUAUGUUUUAUUAUGAAUGAACAUUCUAUACUUUUUGUAUUAUGUACCCAGAUGGCAUUCUUGUACCUUGUCCCAUGAUUGGGGAAAUAUCCAAUCACCUUGGACCUUGUCCCACGAUUGGGGGAAUAUCCAAUCACCUUGAUAUGGCCGAGCUCAUCUUGUUACGUUUAGCUGGUACCCAGUCGGUUAAGCACCUUGUUUUCCUUGAAUGCUCAUCACUAUGUAUUUUGUUUGCAAGUCAAGUUAUGCUUUGUCUUGUACAAGAAAUUAUGUUAUUUUGAAAGAAUGUUUUUAAAGUUUUCAAUGUUCAUUCAUUUACCGCCUUACUUUAUUACUAUUCAUUGAGCUUUAGCUCACUCCUUUCCCAUAUAUAUAUAUGUGUGUGUAUAGGUGAGCAACACGAAGAGCAACCUUAGAGUUUGCAUUUGAAGACCCUUGAAAAAGCCUAUUGGGAAUUGUCGCUUGAGUUGAGUCUAUUGUUUACUUUCUUUUGGGACAAAUUUUGAAGAGUCUACACCAUGCAAUUGUGUCUUGUGAAUGGUUGUAUUUUAUUUAAUUGUGUGGGUAAUGUAAUAGUAAUAUAUGUAAUACUUUCAUGUUAGUUACGCACUGCUCAAUGGACAAGUUUAUUUUUCUGAUUAGUUGUUGUGAAAAUAAAAAAAAAAAACCAUCCAUUUGUAACCC